ensembl:miRNA MIR9848 microRNA mir-9848
AAUGUUUGGUAGCGAACUGAUUCCAGCGCCCAGGUCAAGUUCACAGCGGUCCCUGCUCGAGACGUCGGAUGUGCCCCAGAAACC